rnacentral:rRNA from 1 species
UACGUAGGAUGCAAGCGUUGUCCGGAAUUAUUGGGCGUAAAGGGUGCGCAGGCGGUUUUUCAAGUCAGAUGUGAAAUCUCCCGGCUUAACUGGGAGGGGCCAUUUGAAACUGGAGGACUAGAGUGCAGGAGAGGAUAGCGGAAUUCCCGGUGUAGUGGUGAAAUGCGUAGAUAUCGGGAGGAACACCAGUGGCGAAGGCGGCAUCCUGGCCCUGUCCUGACGCUCAGGGGCGAAAGCGUGGGGAGCAAACCGG